UACAGAGGGUGCAAGCGUUAAUCGGAAUUACUGGGCGUAAAGCGUGCGUAGUCGGUUAUUUAAGUCGGAUGUGAAAUCCCCGGGCUCAACCUGGGAAUUGCAUUCGAUACUGGAUAGCUAGAGUUCGGCAGAGGGAAGCGGAAUUUCUGGUGUAGCGGUGAAAUGCGUAGAUAUCAGGAGGAACACCGGUGGCGAAGGCGGCUCUCUGGUCCACAACUGACGCUGAGGUGCGAAAGCUAGGGGAGCAAACGGG
rnacentral:rRNA from 1 species